AUUGAACGCUGGCGGCAUGCCUUACACAUGCAAGUCGAACGGCAGCAUGGAAGAGCUUGCUCUUCUGAUGGCGAGUGGCGAACGGGUGAGUAAAGCAUCGGAACGUACCGUGUAGUGGGGGAUAACGUAGCGAAAGUUACGCUAAUACCGCAUACGCACUGAGGUGGAAAGCAGGGGAUCGCAAGACCUUGCGCUAUACGAGCGGCCGAUGUCAGAUUAGCUAGUUGGUAGGGUAAAGGCCUACCAAGGCGACGAUCUGUAGCGGGUCUGAGAGGAUGAUCCGCCACACUGGGACUGAGACACGGCCCAGACUCCUACGGGAGGCAGCAGUGGGGGAAUUUUGGGACAAUGGGCGAAAGCCUGAUCCAGCCAUGCCGCGUGAGUGAAGAAGGCCUCGG
rnacentral:rRNA from 1 species